rnacentral:lncRNA from 10 species
AGACUGCUAGGUUUAGCUUCAGGGGCAGCCCAGGGCAGUGUUGCUGCAUAUUGCAUGGAUGAAAGGCUGAAGGCUGCCUCCUCUUGCAGGCUGGCUUCUGAGAUUGCACCUUCUUCUCCUGCUACUCCUCCAAAUCUAUGACCCUUCAAGAAAAGUAGCCAGCCAGGCAUGGUGGCGUGCACCUGUAAUCCCAGCUACUCGGGAGGCUGAGGCAGGAGAAUCGCUUGAACCCAGGAGGCGGAGGUUGUGGUGAGCCAAGAUCACAGCAUUGCACUCCAGCCUGGGCAACAAGAGCAAAACUCUGUCUCAAAAAAAAAAAAAAAAAGAAAAGAAAAAAGAAAAGCAGGACCUGCUACACCCUGACCACCCCCUGCCGCCCCCACAGGCAGAGCUGACCUGUCCGGUAAUCAAGGCAAUGCAGCCGGCCGCCUAGCUACAGUUCACGAGCCAGUUGUCACCCAGUGGGCGGUGCAUCCUCCAGCCCCCGCUCACCCCAGUCUCCUGGACAAAAUGGAGAAAGCGCCUCCACAGCC